rnacentral:lncRNA from 1 species
CCCUUGCCCUUCCACCCCAUCUUCUGGAGCAGCCUGAAUCCGACGUUGGAGGAGGUGAGCUGCGUGUCGACGGACGCCUGCUCCAGCCCCUCCGUGUCGAGAUUCUCUGUGGGGCGGUGGUUCAUCGGGCUGGCGCUGCUGCUGCGGCCAGGCGAGGAGGGUCGCCGCCGCCGUCCAGAUCCACCACCGUGCCUACCGCACGCCGAGCUCCUCCGUAGGGCGGCGGAUCCGGCCCUCCUGAGGACGGUGCCGCCGGAUCCGCCGUUGCAGGCCGUCGCCGUGGCCGCCGCCCGCUGCCCGCCGCCAUCGGGGAAGGGAGGUCGCCGCCGCGCAUGGGAGGUCGGGGAAGGGAGGCCGCCGCCGCCGGUGCCGAGCCCGCCGCUCCCGCUCGCCGCGCCGCGCAUCUCCCGUGCUCGCCGUCGGUGAGAGAAAGGAAAGGAGGAAAGAGUAAGAGGCUGAAAGGAGGAUAAGGA